rnacentral:rRNA from 1 species
UGGGGAAUAUUGCACAAUGGAGGGAACUCUGAUGCAGCCACGCCGCGUGAACGAAGAAGGCUUUCGAGUCGUAAAGUUCUUUUAUAUGGGAAGAUAAUGACGGUACCAUAAGAAAAAGCCCCGGCUAACUACGUGCCAGCAGCCGCGGUAAUACGUAGGGGGCUAGCGUUGUCCGGAAUCACUGGGCGUAAAGGGUUCGCAGGCGGAAAUGCAAGUCAGGUGUAAAAGGCAGUAGCUUAACUACUGUAAGCAUUUGAAACUGCAUAUCUUGAGAAGAGUAGAGGUAAGUGGAAUUUUUAGUGUAGCGGUGAAAUGCGUAGAUAUUAAAAAGAAUACCGGUGGCGAAGGCGGCUUACUGGGCUCAUUCUGACGCUGAGGAACGAAAGCGUGGGUAGCAAACAGG